rnacentral:rRNA from 1 species
AGUGAACGCUGGCGGUAGGCCUAACACAUGCAAGUCGAACGGACGCACAGUAAGAGCUUGCUCUUACGGGUGGCGAGUGGCGGACGGGUGAGGCAUACAUCGGAAUCUACUUUUUCGUGGGGGAUAACGUAGGGAAACUUACGCUAAUACCGCAUACGACCUACGGGUGAAAGCAGGGGAUCUUCGGACCUUGCGCGAUUGAAUGAGACGAUGUCGGAUUAGCUAGUUGGCGGGGUAAAGGCCCACCAAGGCGACGAUCCGUAGCUGGUCUGAGAGGAUGAUCAGCCACACUGGAACUGAGACACGGUCCAGACUCCUACGGGAGGCAGCAGUGGGGAAUAUUCGGCAAUGGGCGCAAGCCUGAUCCAGCCAUACCGCGUGAGUGAAGAAGGCCUUCGGGUUGUAAAGCCCUUUUAUUGGGAAAGAAAAGCAGCAGGUUAAUACCCCGCUGUUCUGACGGUACCCAAAGAAUAAGCACCGGCUAACUUCGUG